rnacentral:rRNA from 1 species
CGUAGGGUCCAAGCGUUAUCCGGAAUUACUGGGCGUAAGAGUUGCGUAGGUGGCAUGUAAAGCGAAUAGUGAAAGCGUGUGGCUCAACCAUACAUCCAUUAUUUGAACUCACAAGCUAGAAGACGAGAGAGGUAGAUGGAAUUCCUGAUGUAGGGGUAAUAUCCGUAGAUAUCAGGAGGAACACCGAUGGCGUAGGCAGUCUACUGGCUCGUUCUUGACACUAAGGCACGAAAGCGUGGGGAGCAAACAGGAUUAGAUACCCUGGUAGUCCACGCCGUAAACUAUGGAUGCUAGCUGUAAGGAGUAUCGACCCUCCUUGUAGCGAAGCUAACGCGUUAAGCAUCCCGCCUGUGGAGUACGGUCGCAAGACUA